CGCCGGGCCCCGCGCUGAGGGCUGUGGAGAGGAUCCCGCCCGCCUGGCUGGUAGCGGGCUCCCAGGGAGAGUGUCUGCCCUGCCGGCACAGCAGACGCCUUGGGUGAUUCAGAAAUGAGCAGUGGGAGCGCUCGGUGAUUUUCACGGGAGGAAGACAGCAGCCAGCAAGGCCCCGGCUCCCUGCCAUCUUGAGCCCUUCCUGGUGAUUUGCAGCAGCACAGAUAAAUCAUUUGUGGAAGAAAAUCAGGAGAAACCAAGCAGGGUUUGCCGGUAUCUCAGAGGUCUUUCCAAGUAGCGUCUUCUUUAACAAGGCCUCAGAUUUAAAGAUACUGAAACAGGAAUAUCUCAACAUUCGUAAUACUGCCUACAUUAAGAAAAAUUUUGCUCUCAGUUUAUACUCGUGUGGGUAUGCAAGCAGCAAGUCAGUGAAGCAUCACCAGGAAAGGACGGUUCUGUUUCAUAUUCUAGUAACUGAUCUAUUAGUUUAACAGUCCUCGGUUUCAUUUUUCCUAUUUUUUUUUCCCCUUUUUGUUAUUCCUGGAAAUUUGGAGUGCUAGCUUGUUCGUUGCUUUCCCUUCCCCUGCUAGUACCCAUUUUAAAAGGUGCAGCCCUAUUCUGCUCAGGUUUUGUUCUCACACAUGGAAAUUUUUAAAGUUCUUUUUUGCAAGCAGUAGGUUGGUGAGGGAGAGAUCUGCACUAUAAAAUAGCAAACCAACUAAACUGUACUCCAGUGGGAGAUUAAAUAAGAAAGAAGAGAAUGGCCGAGGCGAGUCGUUUGUCGCAGAUGUUCAUGCAGUUCUGUGUUUGGUUUUAAGCUGGAUUCAUCAAACGUGCUAAAGAGUAAUUUUUGUCUGAUAUGAAGUUUCUAUCCAAAGAGUCUGAGUGGGUUCGGUUUAAACCGUGGUUUGAAAAUGCAAGGGAAUGUUACCGGUCGGACACAAGAAAGUCAGACUGUUUUUGCAAUCUUAAUUCAGUAGUAAGAAGCAAAAUGUAUUGGAAUUAAAUUGCUGUGUAACACAGUUACUUAAGUUUCACAAAUCCCUUUGUGUACUGAGUACAAAUAUUUUACCAUAAAUGUCAGAAUUCCAUAGAUGAUAAAGGGUGCUUAUGCUGUUGGAGGGUAAGCAUGAAAUGCCGACGUGAUAACGUCUGAUACCAAAAUGGUGUAUGCUGCUUGUACAGUAUUUCCCAAGUUUACGACGUAACUUUAGUAAUAAAACUUAGUAAAAACGCAUGAGAUGAGCACAAAUGUAAUACUUACAAUUACCAGACUAUCUCAAAAAAAAAUAUUUAACAGGGUGGAACACAAAUGAGGAGGCCCAGAAAUAAAAUUACUUUAAAAGGGGGAUUUUGAAAAAUUCAUCAUAUCAAACUCAUUCUUAGUUCCUGUAAGUUUCUGUCUCUUUUAACAUAUUUUCCCCUUUUAAAGUUCAUUUCUGUCUCUGUUCCCUCAAAAAUUCUGCGCUCCUUCCCCAAAAAGGGAAGCAUGUUAUGGUUACAAAUACCUUCUGCUGACUGAAGUAAAAUGAUCUUUUUUCCCAAACGAAAAUGUAUGUAUUAAUUCGCUAAACUGUUCCAGCUAUGUUUACGUAUGUUAUUUCUGAGAAAUGAUGAGGGCUGCACGAUAUACUGCAGCAUACUACGAUGUAGUAGCUGUAGUCGAGCAUUUUUGUUAUUUGUAAUCAAAUAGACAGAAUUGUCAGCCUAUUUGCUUUUAAGUACCUGGAAGCUGAAUUAGAAACACGAUUUUUAAUACAAUGAAUUUGACAUUUCAGUCUGCACUUGCUUUUUUUCUUUCGUAAAUGAGCACUGAUUAUCAGAAAAAUCAAGGCUUACAUAAUCAAGCCAUACAUUUUUCUGCUCUUCUUUCUCUUCCCCCACUUUAGCCAUCAUUUUCCUCGGAAAAAUGAAAAUUUUUGAAUAGAGAAUUACUAUGACAUACUAAUUAUAUACACAUUUUCACGGGACUGCAUAACCAGCCUAUUUGUAUGUAUUUAGUAAAAGAAGGCCGUCAACAAAAUAUUACAACCUUGAGAUGGCUAAACUUUAAAAUUACAGUAAUCAUUAAAUACAGCAUUAUCUUGUUGAUGUGCCUGUCUGUGUACCACUGAGUCAUUUUUCU
ensembl:lncRNA